GUCAGUUAACUACACACAGGGCCUGAGUUUGAGGCUGGGGCAGACAGAUAAACAAAAUAAACAAAAAUGAUAAACAAAAUAAACAAAAAUGGAGUACCAGAAGGCAUCAGCUAUGUAGCCAGGUGAUCAUAGGGUCCAGUGAACAGCAAUAGAUGAAACAGGGAAGCAGUUAGGUAGUCAUUACUAUACUAGCAAGCGGGAGACACGGCGUUCAUAAAGUUAGCAGGCCAGGGCUAGCCAGAACCGUCUUCACUGACGUCUGACAAAGGCCGGUUGAGGGCACAUCGGAUGGAAUUACUUUGGCAGACCAGUCGUGAUGGAUCGGCGGGGCUCCGUGUUGACAAAGGGUCCAGGCCAAUUGGCAAAAGAGGUGUUGGAGGAGUAUGGGGUUUUGGACAGUCCAGAGAUGGAGCUGAGCCCAGAGGACCCAUCUACAGGUGGUUCAUCGCCCCUUGAUUCAUCAUCUCCCUGGCCUGGUUCAUCACCUCUCCGGCCCCUCUCCCCAACGCCCAGGCCCUUCUUACCAACACCCAACCCACAAUCCAGGCGCACCCGUGCUCUCUGCCAUGCAACUCCAUCAACCUCCACCCCAUCUCCCCGAUCCAGCUCCAAUGCCCAGAAGAGGAAGACAGCUGAGGAUCCUUUGGACACUGACAUUAUGCAGCGGGUGCAUGACUUAAAAAAAACGGCAGCAGGAGUUACAGAAACAGCAGCAGUGUCCAGCAAAGGCCGUCUACGAUGUCAUGGUACCAUGGAUGAUGUCUAUUCCUGCUGAUCAACGUCUCCCGUUUGUCUCACCCCUAAACCUGUUGUGUGCUUUUUUUCUUAUUCAUACGUUAUGGUGGCGAGUAACUUACUUGGGGGGGUUGCAUGUUUUUUGUACUUAUUUCCUCAUUCAUAUGUUACUGGUUUUUACUUAGUUUUUUCUCUUAUUUUCGACUUUCAUCACACUUUUCACCUGUGUAUUGCAUUGUACUAUUUUCCUCUUGUGAUAGUAAAUAAAUAUCUAAAAGGAC
rnacentral:lncRNA from 1 species